rnacentral:lncRNA from 1 species
GUUGACCAUGCCGGCACUCUGGGCUCAGGCUGUCAGUCUCCAGACCCGGAGAAAGAAUUUUCUGUCCUGUAUGAUGGAGACUCCUGACCUUCCCCACUAUCCUCUCUCCUGGCCACUCUCCAGUUCCCUUUAGUGGUUUCCCCUCAUCUUCUCAUGGUUCAGAUGUUCGCACCUUAGUCCUGGGACCUCUUCUCUGCCACUCCUUGCUGAUUUCAUCAGUCUUAUGGCUCUGAAUAGCUAGCUAGUGACUACUGCAGUCUCCUAGAUCCAACUGCCUGUGUGACAUGUUUGUGCAGAGCAUCUAAUGUCUAAUGAGCAUCUCAAACUGAACAUAUUCAAAGUGCAUUCCUCAUUCCGCAGACUCUGCUCCUGCUGUCUCCAUCUCAUUGAAUGGAACUCUUUCUUUUAGUAGCUCAGGCUAUAAACAUUAAAGUCAUCCUUGACCGUCUCACUCCACGUCCAAGCUAAUUAGUAAAUCUUACAGGAUGCACCUUCGGAAUACAUCCAGAAACAAAGAUUUCUCACUACCCCUACUGUUGCCACCCUAGUCCAGACAACCAUUGUCUUUCACUCAGAUCUUAGUUCUCAAAAUGUGGUUAACAGAUUCUUAGUGAUUCCCUUGCCGGCAAUCCAGAAAAGCAAAACUAUUUUUGCCAUAGUACUAAGAUACUCUUUCACAAUAUUGACAUUUGUACCAUGGUACAAAAAAUAAUGGUAAAAUUGCUGGUCCCUCCCACAAUUAAGGGCACCAAACUAUACUAAUGGCCAUUGUAUAUCAUCACAUACACUCUUUAUCCCUGAUAGAGCAUUAAAAAACAUAAAUUUUAUUAAAUCUUGAUCAUUAAGUUUAUGUCUUUCUGAUAUUCUAUAUGAUGCCGACAAAGCAUUUUUGCUGCAUACUGAAAUAAUAUCUUUCUCUGGGACAAUUGAAUUGAGAGCUGAACUAAAUACAUUUUGUAUGGAACAUCAUUUUCACUUAAUAGAAUGAC